GUGAGGAAUUUUCCGCAAUGGGCGAAAGCCUGACGGAGUAAUGCCGCGUGAAGGAUGAAGGCCUAUGGGUUGUAAACUUCUUUUCUCAGAAAAGAAUUAUGACGGUAUCUGAGGAAUAAGCAUCGGCUAACUCUGUGCCAGCAGCCGCGGUAAGACAGAGGAUGCAAGCGUUAUCCGGAAUGAUUGGGCGUAAAGCGUCUGUAGGUUGUUUAAAAAGUAUUCUGUCAAAGAUUAGGGCUUAACCCUAGAUAGGCAGAAUAAACUUUUAAGCUAGAGUUUGGUAGAGGCAGAGGGAAUUCCCGGUGGAGCGGUGAAAUGCGUAGAUAUCGGGAGGAACACCAAAGGCGAAGGCACUCUGCUGGGCCAAUACUAACACUGAGAGACGAAAGCGAGGGGAGCAAAUGGGAUUAGAUACCCUGGUAGUCC
rnacentral:rRNA from 1 species